CCCGAGGCGGUACUCGCCGCCAUUAACUAAUUUCAAAAAAUAAAUGU
rfam:Lactobacillus backii strain TMW 1.1989, complete genome.